rnacentral:rRNA from 1 species
UACGAAGGGGGCUAGCGUUGUUCGGAAUUACUGGGCGUAAAGCGCGCGCAGGCGGUUUCUCAAGUCAGUGGUGAAAGCCCGGAGCUCAACUCCGGAACUGCCAUUGAAACUGUGAGGCUUGAGGACGAGAGAGGUGAGUGGAAUUCCCAGUGUAGAGGUGAAAUUCGUAGAUAUUGGGAAGAACACCGGUGGCGAAGGCGGCUCACUGGCUCGUUUCUGACGCUCAGGCGCGACAGCGUGGGGAUCAAACAGG